rnacentral:rRNA from 1 species
UUGGAUCAUUAAAAAGAUUCAAAACUUUUCCAAGAGCUCUCGGGCUUGCGGAAAGUCUACUUAUCCAGUAGGCACAUCUUGUGAACUGUACUGUCUCUGGCGGAUGGAUAGAGCACUGGCAACGGUCUGUAUCUGUCAGCUUGGAUCGUUAGAUCUGGGCCGUGGACAAGCCGCCAACCACUUGUUUCAACCUAAGUAUUUUUUUUGUCUAACAUAACCUUGUAUAAAUAUACAAACAACUUUUGGCAACGGAUCUCUUGGCUCUCGCAACGAUGAAGAACGCAGCGAAAUGCGAUAAGUAGUGUGAAUUGCAGAAUUCAGUGAAUCAUCGAAUCUUUGAACGCACAUUGCGCUUCCUGGUAUUCCGGGGAGCAUGCCCGUUUCAGAAUCAUCACAAUCUCACAACCCCUUUGCUUUCGAGCUUAGGGCAAGUGGAUGUGGAUGCUUUGCGCUUUAGCAAUCAUCUUAAAAUGAUAGUGUGUGCCCCAGUCAGUCUGAUUGGUAAACCAAAGUGCAACAGAUUUAUCUAUUAUGCUCUGGCUUUCGAAUCUGGACUUGUUGGGAUUCCUACUCAAAUUCUUAACAGUCGCCACGUCAAAUGAUGUGGUUCCUGAUAACUUGGUCUGAAAUCGGGCAAGAAAACCCGCUGAACUUAAGCAUAUCAAUAAGCGGAGGAAAAGAAACUAACAAGGAUUCCCCUAGUAACGGCGAGUGAAGCGGGAACAGCUCAAAUUUGAAAUCUCACAGGGUUACCUGUGCGAAUUGUAGUUUAGAGAAACGUUUUCGGGGGCGACUUGGUUAUAAGUCCUUUGGAAUGAGGCAUCAUAGAGGGUGAGAAUCCCGUUUAUGAUCCAAUGUUCGCUCCUAUGUGAUACGUUUUCCAAGAGUCAGGUAGUUUGGGAUUGCUGCCUAAAAUGGGUGGUAAAUACCAUCUGAAGCUAAAUAUUGGCGAGAGACCGAUAGCGAACAAGUACCGUGAGGGAAAGAUGAAAAGAACUUUGAAAAGAGAGUUAAACAGUACGUGAAAUUGCCAAAAGGGAAACGCUUGGAACCAGUAUUGCCUCCAGGUAAUCAGCCGCACGUCCCGAAAGGGGUGCGUGUGGUGCACUUGCCUGUAGGCAGGCCAACAUCAGUUUGGUUUGGGGUAAAAAGCCAGAGGAAGGUAGCUUGGGCUUCGGCCUGAGUGUUAUAGCCUCCGGUCAUGCCUUGGACUGGACUGAGGACUGCAGCGUUAUUUGGAUACCCGAUCGCCUCCUGAACCUUUUCCGUAGACAGCAUGCUGACUAUGUAGAAGUCUAGGGAGCCCGGUCGGUUUGUCACACCAGCGCUUAGGAUGUUGGCGAAAUGGUUCCAAACGACC